GACGAACGCUGACGGUGUGCUUUAGACAUGCAAGUCGAACGCGAAAGCCCUUCGGGGUGAGUAGAGUGGCGAACGGGUGAGUAACACGUGGGCAAUCUGCCCCUCGCGAGGGGACAACCGGAGGAAACUCCGGCUAAUACCCCGUACGCUUGUGGGAUCGCAUGAUCUUGCAAAGGAAAGGUAGCUUCGGCCAUCCGGCGAGGGAUGAGCCCGCGGUGCAUUAGCUAGUUGGUGGGGUAACCGGCCCACCAAGGCGACGAUGCAUAGCUGGUCUGAGAGGAUGAUCAGCCACA
rnacentral:rRNA from 1 species